ensembl:lncRNA
CCCCAGCGUUGCCUCCGCCCCGCGGAGCUUGGAAAGCGACCUUGGGCCUGCGCGGCCGUCGGCCCACCGAGGGACCUGGCGUUCCUAGGCGGGGAAUGCCUCCUGGGUGCCUGGCGGUUGAUGGGACCGAUUGCCCCGAGCAGCCUUCAGUCGAUAGAAAAACCAAUGUGUCUGCCCUCUGAUGCCCUCUUGCAACACCUACCUUGGACUACAAGGAGAGCCAACCAGUCCAUUCUGAAGGAGAUCAGCCCUGGGAUUUCUUUGGAAGGAAUGAUGCUAAAGCUGAAACUCCAGUACUUUGGCCAUCUCAUGCAAAGAGUUGACUCACUGGAAAAGACUCUGAUGCUGGGAGGGAUUGGAGGCAAGAGGAGAAGGGGACUACAGAGGAUGAGAUGGGUGGAUGGCAUCACUGACUCGAUGGAUGUGAGUCUGAGUGAACUCUGGGAGUUGGUGUUGGACAGGGAGGCCUGGCAUGCUGUGAUUCAUGGGGUCGCAAAGAGUCGGACACAACUGAGCGACUGAUCUGAUCUGAUCUGAUGCUUUUGAACUGUGGUGCUGGAGAAGACUCUUGAGAGUCCCUUGGACAGCAAGGAGAUCCCACCAGUCCAUCCUAAAGGAAAUCAGUCUUGAAUAUUCAUUGGAAGGGCUGAUGCUGAAAUUGAAACUCCAGUACUUUGGCCACCUGAUGCGAAGAACUGACUCAUUUGAAAAGACCCUGAUGCUGGGAAAGAUUGAAGGCGGGAGGAGAAGGAGACGACAGAGGAU